CUCUCUUUCACUCACAAUAUCGCGGGGGAGCCUGAAAACCGAACCUUACUCCCUAGCGAACAAGUCAUCUCCUGGCAGGCCCAGGGUUACACCACAAGGUUCGAGAGACAGAGUUCCCUCCCGAUAAAAACCACUACCUUAAAAUAUUGUGCGCUAACCGACACGGAAGGACAUAUGUCAACUACCGUUAGAGUUAGACAUAGGACAUGCU